rnacentral:lncRNA from 1 species
CUUGAAAAUAUCAUUAAUAGGUUAACAUACCCUUCUGAACAUGUCAUCAUGUCAGCCUCUCUGUCAUUUUAAGAUGGAGCAGCGUCUGUCUCCAAGUCUCUCCUCUGUGUCUUAACAUUUAAAAGUACACCUAUUUAUACCUUAGGUGUCUCCAUUUUAGGGUUACCGUAGUUAAUUUACUUUAUUCAUUUUAGGACCUCCCUUAACUUGGCAAACAUACAAGGCCAUAACUAAAGGGUGCAAACGUCAUGGAAAUUUUCCUGACUUAGUUCAAGAUGGCAUCUUAAAGUCUGAAUAGCUUAUCUGUUGUUUAUACUAAGACGUAAGUGCACAGUCGUGGGAGAUUCCCGGUUUUGGGGAAGUUCCAUUAACUUGGGGUUACCACAGUAUAUUGUGUACUGCAAGUGUCGUAGUAUAGCCUUGAGGCUUGUUUAUGCAUUAUUGUUAUUGUAAUUUGUCUGGGACAAAAUGGCGCAAACAUAUUAUGCACUGAGGUUAUUGCUUAAAGAAAC